rnacentral:snoRNA from 10 species
CUCUGCUUAUGAUGAGUUGCAAUAUCUUUUGCCUACAUUGUCUGACAAAUGUUGUCAUGAUAAUAUUUGCAACCUCUGAGGCAUAA